rnacentral:rRNA from 1 species
CUCAGGGAGGUAGUGACAAGAAAUAACAACACUGGAAAUUUUAUUUCUAGUGAUUGGAAUGAUGGGAAUUUAAACCCCUUUCAGAGUAACAAUUGGAGGGCAAGUCUGGUGCCAGCAGCCGCGGUAAUUCCAGCUCCAAUAGCGUAUAUUAAAGUUGUUGCAGUUAAAAAGCUCGUAGUUGGAUGUCUGCUGGAAGCAAUCAGUCCGCCCUAUUUGUAGGGUGUGCACUUGAUGAAUUCUGGCAUCUAUGUCCUAAUGUGAUAGAUACGGCGGUGUAUAUGGGUUAAUCCUAUAUACCCGUUUUUGUAUAUUAUAUUGGGAUAAUACCGUUACUUUGAGAAAAUUAGAGUGUUUGAAGCAGGCUAAUUGCCUUGAAUACUGCAGCAUGGAAUAACAAUAUAGGAUUUCGGUUCUAUUUUGUUGGUUUCUAGGACUGAAAUAAUGAUUAAUAGGGACAGUUGGGGGCAUUCGUAUUUAACUGUCAGAGGUGAAAUUCUUAGAUUUGUUAAAGACGAACUACUGCGAAAGCAUUUGCCAAAGAUGUUUUCAUUAAUCAAGAACGAAAGUUAGGGGCUCGAAGACGAUCAGAUACCGUCGCAGUCUUAACCAUAAACUAUGCCGACUAGAGAUAGGAAAAUGUCAUUUUUCUGACUU